GGAUGGCCGGGGGCGGGUUUCGGCCCGUUCCAGGAAAGUCCGGACUCCAUCAAGGCACGGUGCCGGGUAACGCCCGGGCGGGGUCGGCAUGCCGCCGGUCCCGACGGAAAGCGCCACAGAGAACAGACCGCCGCGCAUGCGCGGCAAGGGUGAAAAGGUGGGGUAAGAGCCCACCACGGGGAUGGCAACAUCGCCGGUAUGGCAAGCCCCACCGGGAGCAAUGCCGAAUAGGGAUCCCGCCGCGGGACCGGUGCCGCAAGGCAUACCGCCGCAGGGGCCGCCUUGGCCCCGGGGAUCCGGGUUGGCAGCUAGAGGGUAUCGGCAACGGUGCCCCCAGAGGAAUGGUCAUCGAACCGGGGCGACCCGGGGAACAGAAUCCGGCUUACAGGUCCU
rnacentral:RNase_P_RNA from 1 species